GGGUUGUGAGGUUAAGCGACUAAGCGUACACGGUGGAUGCCCUGGCAGUCAGAGGCGAUGAAGGACGUGCUAAUCUGCGAUAAGCGUCGGUAAGGUGAUAUGAACCGUUAUAACCGGCGAUUUCCGAAUGGGGAAACCCAGUGUGAUUCGUCACACUAUCAUUAACUGAAUCCAUAGGUUAAUGAGGCGAACCGGGGGAACUGAAACAUCUAAGUACCCCGAGGAAAAGAAAUCAACCGAGAUUCCCCCAGUAGCGGCGAGCGAACGGGGAGCAGCCCAGAGCCUGAAUCAGUGUGUGUGUUAGUGGAAGCGUCUGGAAAGGCGCGCGAUACAGGGUGACAGCCCCGUACACAAAAAUGCACAUGCUGUGAGCUCGAUGAGUAGGGCGGGACACGUGGUAUCCUGUCUGAAUAUGGGGGGACCAUCCUCCAAGGCUAAAUACUCCUGACUGACCGAUAGUGAACCAGUACCGUGAGGGAAAGGCGAAAAGAACCCCGGCGAGGGGAGUGAAAAAGAACCUGAAACCGUGUACGUACAAGCAGUGGGAGCCUCUUUAUGGGGUGACUGCGUACCUUUUGUAUAAUGGGUCAGCGACUUAUAUUCUGUAGCAAGGUUAACCGAAUAGGGGAGCCGAAGGGAAACCGAGUCUUAACUGGGCGUUAAGUUGCAGGGUAUAGACCCGAAACCCGGUGAUCUAGCCAUGGGCAGGUUGAAGGUUGGGUAACACUAACUGGAGGACCGAACCGACUAAUGUUGAAAAAUUAGCGGAUGACUUGUGGCUGGGGGUGAAAGGCCAAUCAAACCGGGAGAUAGCUGGUUCUCCCCGAAAGCUAUUUAGGUAGCGCCUCGUGAAUUCAUCUCCGGGGGUAGAGCACUGUUUCGGCAAGGGGGUCAUCCCGACUUACCAACCCGAUGCAAACUGCGAAUACCGGAGAAUGUUAUCACGGGAGACACACGGCGGGUGCUAACGUCCGUCGUGAAGAGGGAAACAACCCAGACCGCCAGCUAAGGUCCCAAAGUCAUGGUUAAGUGGGAAACGAUGUGGGAAGGCCCAGACAGCCAGGAUGUUGGCUUAGAAGCAGCCAUCAUUUAAAGAAAGCGUAAUAGCUCACUGGUCGAGUCGGCCUGCGCGGAAGAUGUAACGGGGCUAAACCAUGCACCGAAGCUGCGGCAGCGACGUUUAUGCGUUGUUGGGUAGGGGAGCGUUCUGUAAGCCUGUGAAGGUGUGCUGUGAGGCAUGCUGGAGGUAUCAGAAGUGCGAAUGCUGACAUAAGUAACGAUAAAGCGGGUGAAAAGCCCGCUCGCCGGAAGACCAAGGGUUCCUGUCCAACGUUAAUCGGGGCAGGGUGAGUCGACCCCUAAGGCGAGGCCGAAAGGCGUAGUCGAUGGGAAACAGGUUAAUAUUCCUGUACUUGGUGUUACUGCGAAGGGGGGACGGAGAAGGCUAUGUUGGCCGGGCGACGGUUGUCCCGGUUUAAGCGUGUAGGCUGGUUUUCCAGGCAAAUCCGGAAAAUCAAGGCUGAGGCGUGAUGACGAGGCACUACGGUGCUGAAGCAACAAAUGCCCUGCUUCCAGGAAAAGCCUCUAAGCAUCAGGUAACAUCAAAUCGUACCCCAAACCGACACAGGUGGUCAGGUAGAGAAUACCAAGGCGCUUGAGAGAACUCGGGUGAAGGAACUAGGCAAAAUGGUGCCGUAACUUCGGGAGAAGGCACGCUGAUAUGUAGGUGAAGUCCCUCGCGGAUGGAGCUGAAAUCAGUCGAAGAUACCAGCUGGCUGCAACUGUUUAUUAAAAACACAGCACUGUGCAAACACGAAAGUGGACGUAUACGGUGUGACGCCUGCCCGGUGCCGGAAGGUUAAUUGAUGGGGUCAGCGCAAGCGAAGCUCUUGAUCGAAGCCCCGGUAAACGGCGGCCGUAACUAUAACGGUCCUAAGGUAGCGAAAUUCCUUGUCGGGUAAGUUCCGACCUGCACGAAUGGCGUAAUGAUGGCCAGGCUGUCUCCACCCGAGACUCAGUGAAAUUGAACUCGCUGUGAAGAUGCAGUGUACCCGCGGCAAGACGGAAAGACCCCGUGAACCUUUACUAUAGCUUGACACUGAACAUUGAGCCUUGAUGUGUAGGAUAGGUGGGAGGCUUUGAAGUGUGGACGCCAGUCUGCAUGGAGCCGACCUUGAAAUACCACCCUUUAAUGUUUGAUGUUCUAACGUUGACCCGUGAUCCGGGUUGCGGACAGUGUCUGGUGGGUAGUUUGACUGGGGCGGUCUCCUCCUAAAGAGUAACGGAGGAGCACGAAGGUUGGCUAAUCCUGGUCGGACAUCAGGAGGUUAGUGCAAUGGCAUAAGCCAGCUUGACUGCGAGCGUGACGGCGCGAGCAGGUGCGAAAGCAGGUCAUAGUGAUCCGGUGGUUCUGAAUGGAAGGGCCAUCGCUCAACGGAUAAAAGGUACUCCGGGGAUAACAGGCUGAUACCGCCCAAGAGUUCAUAUCGACGGCGGUGUUUGGCACCUCGAUGUCGGCUCAUCACAUCCUGGGGCUGAAGUAGGUCCCAAGGGUAUGGCUGUUCGCCAUUUAAAGUGGUACGCGAGCUGGGUUUAGAACGUCGUGAGACAGUUCGGUCCCUAUCUGCCGUGGGCGCUGGAGAACUGAGGGGGGCUGCUCCUAGUACGAGAGGACCGGAGUGGACGCAUCACUGGUGUUCGGGUUGUCAUGCCAAUGGCACUGCCCGGUAGCUAAAUGCGGAAGAGAUAAGUGCUGAAAGCAUCUAAGCACGAAACUUGCCCCGAGAUGAGUUCUCCCUGACUCCUUGAGAGUCCUGAAGGAACGUUGAAGACGACGACGUUGAUAGGCCGGGUGUGUAAGCGCAGCGAUGCGUUGAGCUAACCGGUACUAAUGAACCGUGAGGCUUAACCUUACAACGCCGAAGCUGUU
rnacentral:rRNA from 1 species